rnacentral:rRNA from 1 species
GAUGAACGCUGGCGGCGUGCCUAAUACAUGCAAGUCGAGCGAACGGACGAGAAGCUUGCUUCUCUGAUGUUAGCGGCGGACGGGUGAGUAACACGUGGAUAACCUACCUAUAAGACUGGGAUAACUUCGGGAAACCGGAGCUAAUACCGGAUGAUAUUUUGAACCGCAUGGUUCAAAAGUGAAAGACGGUCUUGCUGUCACUUAUAGAUGGAUCCGCGCUGCAUUAGCUAGUUGGUAAGGUAACGGCUUACCAAGGCAACGAUGCAUAGCCGACCUGAGAGGGUGAUCGGCCACACUGGAACUGAGACACGGUCCAGACUCCUACGGGAGUCAGCAGUAGGGAAUCUUCCGCAAAGGGCGAAAGCCUGACGGAGCAACGCCGCGUGAGUGAUGAAGGUCUUCGGAUCGUAAAACUCUGUUAUUAGGGAAGAACAUAUGUGUAAGUAACUGUGCACAUCUUGACGGUACCUAAUCAGAAAGCCACGGCUAACUACGUG